AGUGAACGCUGGCGGUAGGCCUAACACAUGCAAGUCGAACGGCAGCACAGUAAGAGCUUGCUCUUACGGGUGGCGAGUGGCGGACGGGUGAGGAAUACAUCGGAAUCUACUUUUUCGUGGGGGAUAACGUAGGGAAACUUACGCUAAUACCGCAUACGACCUACGGGUGAAAGCAGGGGAUCUUCGGACCUUGCGCGAUUGAAUGAGCCGAUGUCGGAUUAGCUAGUUGGCGGGGUAAAGGCCCACCAAGGCGACGAUCCGUAGCUGGUCUGAGAGGAUGAUCAGCCACACUGAAACUGAGACACGGUCCAGACUCCUACGGGAGGCAGAAGGGGGGAAUUUUGGAAAAGGGGCGCAAGCCUGAUCCAGCCAUCCCGGGGGGGUGAAGAAGGCCUGCGGGUUGUAAAGCCCUUUUGUUGGGAAAAAAAAGCAGCAGGUUAAAACCCCGCUGUUCUGACGGUACCCAAAAAAAAAGCACCGGCUAACUUCGU
rnacentral:rRNA from 1 species